AUUGAACGCUGGCGGCAUGCUUUACACAUGCAAGUCGAACGGCAGCACGGACUUCGGUCUGGUGGCGAGUGGCGAACGGGUGAGUAAUGUAUCGGAACGUGCCCAGUCGUGUGGGAUAACGUAGUGAAAAUUACGCUAAUACCGCAAACGAUCUAUGGAUGAAAGCGGGGGAUCGCAAGACCCUGCGCGAUUAGAGCGGCAGAUAUCAGAUUAGGUAGUUGGGGGGGUAAAGGCCCACAAAGCCAACGAUCUGUAGCUGGUCUGAGAGGACGACCAGCCACACUGGAACUGAGACACGGUCCAGACUCCUACGGGAGGCAGCAGUGGGGAAUUUUGGACAAUGGGCGCAAGCCUGAUCCAGCCAUUCCGCGUGCAGGAUGAAGGCCCUCGGGUUGUAAACUGCUUUUGUACAGAACGAAAAGGUUUCUACUAAUACUAGGAGCUCAUGACGGUACUGUAAGAAUAAGCACCGGCUAACUACGUGCCAGCAGCCGCCGUAA
rnacentral:rRNA from 1 species